rnacentral:rRNA from 1 species
GACGUAGGAGACGAGCGUUGUCCGGAUUUACUGGGCGUAAAGAGCGCGCAGGCGGUCGUUCAAGUCGCGUGUGAAAGCCCCCGGCUCAACUGGGGAGGGUCACGCGAUACUGAUCGACUCGAAGGCAGGAGAGGGUAGUGGAAUUCCCGGUGUAGUGGUGAAAUGCGUAGAUAUCGGGAGGAACACCAGUGGCGAAGGCGACUUCCUGGCCUGUUCUUGACGCUGAGGCGCGAAAGCUAGGGUAGCAAACGGG